GAAUUUGAUUCGACACGGCGGAUCCGAGGAAUCCUUGGAGAAAUUCUCGCAUCAGCUCCCAAGCGCUUCCCGGCACGACGCAAGCUCUUGGGUGGAGAAUUUAGGUUCAAGGGAGGUACCUAAACGACGCGAAGAUGUAAAUCUCGACGAAGAGACCGUUUACAAUCUAUCAGCCCCGGAUUCUCCGAAGGGUCGCUGCGAAACGACUUUAUAACAAGCAUUCUCACGGUUGCAGAGGAUUCUCUUCGCCUUCGAGAGUCCAGGACACGCGAAAGCCAAUAUAUACAGCUGCCAAAGCGACACGAACACGUUCCCGCAGUUCCUGGGCUACCGGGCUUCCCUUUUUGCGACUGGCCGGGAUAUUCGCGACGAAAUGGCGGAGCAAAAUAAAGGGACAACGGAAAUCCUGCGGUAACGUGUACACCGCACGCACCGAGGAAGCCUAUUAAAGCCGCCUCCGUCAUUGCGCCUGGCGAAGGGAAGAACUUAAAUGAGAAAACUGUUACGUGCCCUGCUGGGGGUACCGCGGGCUGAUUACUUUCUUUUUAAUGGAUUCUUUUUAACCGUCCCGGAGGAUCAAGCCGCGGGGAAAAUGUUCCGGGGCCACUUUCUCGCCGAGAAUAAUUCCAUUCGCAUUUAAUUCCCAUUUAAUUCCUCCCCGAGGAGAGGUCCCGUUCCUUCGGCCCUCCUCGAUCGUUUCUCAUUUAAUUUUCGGCUCUUAUCGUGGGACGCAGUGCACUGGAUUAAGCAAGAGCAGUGGGGCCGAAUAAAAGGAGGUGAGAAGCUGCGGCUUGCCCCGAGGAAGCGAUAAUGAAAAGUACAUACUCCCAGGGGAAAAGAAGAGGGAGAGAGAGAGCUGGGAAUGCCUCCAUUGGAAUUAAUGGCUCCUGGCGUUAUUUUAGAGUAUUUCCGAGGUCGAAGAGUAUAAAGUAUCCAGGGGAUGCAGUUAUACGAGACAAAUGGCGAGGGUUCUACGUUCAACCAACCCUCGACUUGGCUCGGACUUGUUCGAGGUCAGGGAGCAAAUAUGCUCGCCGAAAAUUGGGGCGACCUGGAUCGAACGUAAUCCCGAUAGAUUACGUAUCAGUUAAGAUUUCACUCGACGUAAUGCGUCGGUGAACAUUAAAAAUAUACCGCGAUAAUUUUUUUAUAUUCUCCUAUUCUAUAUAU